UGACGCCCAGGGCCUGCCACGGCCCAACGCCCAACCUGGAGCCGCCUGACGGCGCGUGGCGGCACAGGCAUAAGGAGUCGAUCGCCGAGCUCGCCGAGCAGGCUUUGUGUCCCCGCUGUCGGUGGGUGCCCGCCCGCCCGGGAGGAGCUGGCGCCCGGCUGGACGGAGCGGCCCCCGCCCUUCCCCUGACUCCGCGGAGUGCUCACCACCGCGGCCCCAGCGCAGACAGUGGCUGUCGACUGGAGCUGCACAUUGGAGUCACUUGAAGAAUGAAAAGAUAUGGCCGGGCGCAGUGGCUCACGCCUGUAAUCCCAGCACUUUGGGAGGCUGAGGCGGGGGAUCACCUGAGGUCAGGAGUUCGAGACCAGCCUGACCAACAUGGAGUUUGCUGACAAGCAGUACUGGAAGUAACUUUGCUGCCUGCAGACAGGGGUGCCAUAUGUUAGAUGAGAAGCCCACCAUUCUGUACAGCCACAGCCCCCAGGUAUGUCUGCAUUCCUGUGGUCCCUGGAGAUUAAAGUAAUGUGAUGUGCAGCCAGAGUGAGGCCAACAGAUUUGCCAUGGCUCUGAGCAUGCCUGGUCAUACUCUUCAGCCCUUUCCCACAAGGGUGUUGCUGGUGAGACACUGGGGACAGAGGCCUGGGGAGGAGAGGACUCAGGAAGGCAUGUGAGUGAGGAAGGGCCAAGUCCUCUUUUCUGGACUAAUAAGAUUGAGCCCUCUCUCUCAGGGUAGAGGUAGCCUCCCCACAUGCUGGGCAGUAGCUCUGGCCAGGCUGGUGGAGGCUGAUUGUGGUUCUGUAGAGGACAGAUGGCAGGGUGGGGGCUGAAAGGCCAUUUCUGCCACCACAUUGCCUACGGGCUCAGGGCUUCACUCAUUCACCCGGUCAUUCAUUUAUUCACUCUCACAUAUAUUCCUUGGGCAUUGUUAGGUGUGUGCCAGGCCCUGGAUGAGUGUUGGGGGAUGGGAGUAGUUCUAAAGAUGACAAUGACAGGUGGCUGGCCAGGACGAGAAAGAGGCUCAUCCAUGAAUCCUUUGCUCUUCAGCCCUGGGGCCUGUCAGUCACCCUGACACACCCUGAUCCUGGUCUGACUUCAUCGUUCCUGUUUGUGAGCUUUUAUUUUUCUCCAAAUUUUAUCCUUCCCUGACCUCUCCUUGCUUUUUUCCCCCCAGCUUUUUUUUUUUUUCUCCCACAGUAUCUUUAAAAUUCAAAGUAUACAUGGAAACCAAAAUAAGAUUAUAUCAAGAGGCCAGGCGCAGUGGCACACGCCUAUAAUCCCAGCACUUUGAGUGGCUGAGGCAGGCAGAUCGCUUGAGCUCAGGAGUUCAAGACCUGGGCUACAUGGCAAAAAUGUUUCUACAAAAAAAUACAGGCAGGGCGCAGUGGCUCACGCCUGUAAUCCCAGCACACUGAGAAGCGGAGGUAGGGGGAUCAGCUGACGUCGGGUUUGAGACCAGCCUGGCCAACAUGGUGAAACCCUGUCUUUACUAAAAAUACAAAAAUUAACCGGGCGUGGUGGAACAUGCCUGUAAUCCCAGCUACUCGAGAGGCUGAGGCAGGAGAAUCACUUGAACCCACAAGGCGGAGGUUGCAGUGAGCUGAGAUUGUGCCACUAUACUCCAGACUGGGCAACAGAGUAAGACUGUCUCCAAAAAAUAAAAAA